rnacentral:rRNA from 1 species
CCUACGGGAGGCAGCAGUCGAGAAUCAUUCACAAUGGGGGAAACCCUGAUCGUGCGACGCCGCGUGGGGGAAUGAAGGUCUUCGGUUUGUAAACCCCUGUCAUGUGGGAGCAAAUUAAGAAGAUAGUACCACAAGAGGAAGAGACGGCUAACUAUGUGCCAGCAGCCGCGGUAAUACAGAGGUGUCAAUCGUUGUUCGGAAUCACUGGGCGUAAAGGGUGCGUAGGCUGUUUCGUAAGUCGUGUGUGAAAGGCGCGGGCUCAACCCGCGGACGGCACAUGAUACUGUGGGACUAGAGUAAUGGAGAGGGAGACGGAAUUCUCGGUGUAGCAGUGAAAUGCGUAGAUAUCGAGAGGAACACUAGUGGCGAAGGCGGGUUCCUGGACAUUAACUGACGCUGAGGCACGAAGGCCAGGGGAGCGAAAGGGAUUAGAUACCCCUGUAGUC